AUGCCUACUGCAGUGCCUGGCAUGUAGCAAGGUUCGUUAAAUGUCAUUGCCGUUCCAGCCCUUCCCCGUGACGUGCUGGAGCCAGCUCAUACCAGCUCAGUAGCUCACGAGAGCUAAUCAUAUUUUCAAGAAUUUUGUGAGCCAAUUGACCUAACAUUGGCACCUUGAAGUUGACCUUUAUGGGAUUAUUUACAGCAUGGAAACUGGAAAUGCUGCAAAUCAGGACUUCCCUGCCCAGGCAGUUGUUAAACGUAAACUACUGCCUCCACUCCAUUCUUCCCUUCUCAAGAUGUGAGCAGAACCAUGGAGGAUCGUGUGUCAGGAUUAGAUUCAGCAGUGAGUUACCCCCCACCCCCCAAAAAAUAGAACAGCUGUUUACUAGUAAAAAUUCUUUCUUUCUUCCUUCUUUCCUUCUUUCCUUCUAUCCUUGUUUCUUUCUUUCUCUUUCUCUCUCUCUCUCUUUCUUUCUUUCUUUCUUUCUUUCUUUCUUUUUUGAGGAAGACUGGCCCUGAGCUAACAUCCGUGCCCAUCUUCCUCCACUUUUUUACAUGUGGGACGCCUGCCACAGCGUGGCUUGACAAGCGGUAUGUAGGUCUGCACUGGCGAACCCCAGGCCGCUGAAGUGGAACGUGUGAACUUAACCACUGCACCACCAGGCUGGCCCGAAGUUUGUUUUUUAGAUCAAGGUGGAGAGUUCAGGGCUUGGCUAGUAGCUCUACUUUGUUGCCUCACCAUCCUCAAAACAUGGCUUUUACUUCAUGAUCUAAGAUGGCUGCUCAAGCUUCACGUUCCAGCCAGCGGGAAAGACAAGGACAAAGAAACACACACUCCUCCUAUUAAGGCCAUUGACAGAAGUAACACACAUUUCUACUUAUAUGAAGUAGGUUGAAGUGAAGUCACUUAGCCAUAUCUAGAUGCAAAGGUGGCUUGGACAUGUGUUAUUUACCCCAGGCAGCUGUGUGCCCAGCUGGAAACUGAGAAGAAGGAGCAAGUGGAUAUCGGGAGACAGCUGUCAGUCCCUCCCACUAAUGCGCAGGAGUUAGGAAAGUGGAGAGAGGGGAAAGUGGUGCUGGUGUGAUGGCAUGAAUGUGGUUUGUGAAACUCUGAAGGAGUUGGCUGGAAUAUAAAAUUAAAAUACUGAAAAGCAAGGUUAAAUAAACAAGGUGGAAGCCAGAUUGCAGUGAGGGUCCAGGAAAGCACACAAAAGAAUCUUUCUCUAGUACCGUUAGAAACAGAAGACAUUGCCCUUUUGAGUAGGUGAGCUGGGUCCAGCCCAGAGGCCAAGUGGUUCAAGUUCCAUGUGCUCCCCUUCAGCGGCCUGGGUUCGCAGGUUCGGAUCCUGGGCACGGAUCCACUUACCAGCCACUCUGAGGAGGUGUCCCACAUACAAAAAACUAGAGGAAGACUGGCACAGGUGUUAGCUCAGGGCAAAUCUUCCUUAGCUUAAAAAAAAAAAAUGAGUAAGUGAGCUCUAUAAUCAGAGGCAUUUAAGAAAUUUAAAUGUGGCACUUACGUGCUUGACACGUUGGAGGGAGGAAAAACAGGAAGCAGCAGGGAGGUCAGAAAGAAUUUCACAAUACAGGUGUGAGGUGAUUACGUGGGGGCAAUGGGAAUGAGGAGGAAGAAAUAAAUCUGAGAGGCGUUUGCUAGAAAAUGUGUUUGCUUUGAUGGUUGGCCUGAUAGGGAGUUUCAGGCUGGGGUGGUGGAGAGACAGGAGUCACAGAGACAGGGAGCAAGCCUGUCUGGUAGGUAUUUUAGAUUGGGUCACCUAGAAGCACAGUCUGGCACAGGACUUUUGUGAUCUUUGUCCAAGGGAUUGAUUCGGGGAGAAGGGAUUGAUUCGGGGAGGAGAAGGAGAGUGAGGGAAACAGGAUGGCAAAGGGGAAGAAGCUAAGCAAGGGUGUGAGCUGAACAGCUGUGCAAGCCUGCAGGGAGGCUGUCCACACAAAUUGCACCAGAGUUGGUUCUACCUUGAGGCAAGAGCACUGGUGUCUUGUAGCCCUUCAUCAGGCAGUCACUGGCCAAGGUCUAUCCAAAGUGUGUAUAGGGAGGGAUGGCUUGGCUCCCAUUUGGUCCAGGGCAAUUCUCUAGAAAAGAGGACAGCUGUGUGUGGUUAUUGGACAACAUGCCUGGCAACUGGGAGUUGAGUUGGCCAGCUGGUAAAGAGGAGCUGGAUGAGGCCCAGGCAGCAUCUAUUAUAGUGCGUCCAUUUUGAGUGUGUUGGAUUUGAAGUGGCGAGGAAAUAAGGUAUUGACACAUGACUAGUGGGAAAGUGGAGAUACAAGAUAGGAGUUCAUGUGGAAGAAGAGCUGAGCUAUGUAGACAUUAGAGUGGGAGACUCUGGCCACACAGGUGACAGCUUCAACAAGAAGCUCUUUGAGGGCCGUGGAUGGAAAGAGGGGAGCAAGCCUUUGGAGAGUAAGUUGGAUACCCCUUAGUGGCAAGGUGGGUGGAAGAGGAGCAACUAAUGAAUAAAGCAAUGCAGAGACCAGUAGAGAAGCGUGUUUGUGUGGUAAUUGACCUUACAUUUUGACUGGAAGUCAAGGGAAGAAAAAGUUGAAGGGGAAUAAGUAUGGAGAAAAGGUUGAAGUUUAUUUUUCAUCAGUUGGGAGGUGGUUGAUGGCCUUUCAGGGAGCAAUGUCACGAUAGGACAGGGUUAGAAACCACAUGGCGAGGGUCAGUAAUGCUUUCCACAUUUAAUGCCAUUCCGUUCUGACUAAUUCUCAAGUCCUUUCGGGCACUUCUGCUUCAAUUUAUAUGCUGCUCAUUCUUGCUUGUCCUGAAGUUACUCUAUAUUCUGGUUAUCUAAUGUUGCCUAAGAAAUUACCCCAAGACUUAGGGGAAUGAGACCCCCUUUGUUAUGUUCCUGGGUUCUGUGGGUCAGGAAUUUGGACAGAGCAAAGUGGGGAUGGCUUGUCUCUGCUCCACGAUGUCUGGGGUCACACCUGGAAGGCUUGAAAGCUGGGAACUGGAAUUGUUUGCAUGAUCCUUCACUCCCAUGUCUGGCAGUGGAUGCUGGCUAUUGGCUGGGGGCCUCAGUUCCUCUCCUUGGGGUCUAGAUUGGACCCUCUUGCAUGAUGGCUGGGUAACUGAGAGAGAACCAGGCAUGAACUAUAUUCUUUUUAUGACCUCACCUUUUGAUGAUCUACACUGCUUUCCUCAUAACCCAUUGGUCACAGCAGUCACAGCCCCACUCAGAUUCAAGGGGAGGGAACAUAACUCCACCCUGGAGUCUGUCACGUGACAAGAAGAGCAUGGGGUGGGGUAGGGGGCUGCUAUCUUUGGAAAUACAAUCUUCCAUAAUCUGACAAAGCUCUCCAUUUGCUUCUUGUGAGUGGCCCCGUUUAUUCAACUAUCCUCAAUAAUAACAGCCACUGGAGGAACUUCCUGAGGGCAGGAGUCUGGCCUGUUACUCGUAUCUUUAGAUCCUAAGCAUUUGCACAGUAAAAGACCCCCAAUAGAUACCUGUGGAAGGAAGAACUCUUUUUAAAGCCUAUCAUCUCUUUUUCACAUGCACUGCAUUGUUUGAUCCAAAACCAGCCAUCAGGACCACUUGCAGCUGAAGAAAUUGAGGCUUAGAGGGCUCCGUGGGCUACCCCAGGUGACUCAGCGAGCAGGAGCUCAGCUGUGACAUGAACCCAGGUCUUCUGCGUUGAUGCUACUUUUAUUAAGAACUUGAUGCCUCCAAACAGCAAAUAAAAUUCCUAGGGGCUUCAGGGCCCCUGCCUCCUUCAUCCUCAUAGCAGCACAGGGCCAACUACGGGGCCAUGGACAGAGAUCCCUCAGCUGCUUACUGACCGGUCCUGCAUUUGAUCCUUCACUCCCAUGUCUGGCAGUGGAUGCUGGCUAUUGGCUGGGGGCCUCAGUUCCUCUCCUUGGGGUCUAGAUUGGACCCUCUUGCAUGAUGGCUGGGUAACUGAGAGAGAACCAGGCAUGAACUAUAUUAACAUGAUGAUUUAAUAUGAUUUUGCAUCUCUUUUCUCAUGGGAGCAGUCAAGGGCUAGGACACGGACCCUCAUGCCACAUGCAGCUUCAGGCUGGGUAGAAGGCCAGGAUGAAGUUGUUUCUCCUCUCUCUGUGCUGGCAAUGAGCAGGCAGCACCCAUGUCAGAAGCGUGAGGUGAGUGGGAGAUGCCAAGGAGAGCACAGGUGGGGCAAUCAGACGGUGAUCUGAGCUAACUGAAUAGGAAGGCCACAUAAGGAAAGCCUAGAAGGGAAGGAUCUGAGGCAGUUCCUGUAGGUCCAGCUCAGAGGGGAGAGGGGAGUGGGGAGCCAAUUUCCACCGCCUCCCCAACUCACAGCCCAGCCCCGAAAAUGCUUCGCCGCCUCAGGGGGAAAUUCUGGGGAAGAAAUGCAGUGUAGGUGGCAGGGGUGCUUAUCGAGAUCAGGAGUAGGUGGGAGCAGAUCUUAGAACUUACAUUAGGCCUCAAUCUUCCAAAUCCUGCCUGUGCCCUGUCGCCGCCCCCACAAACCGAUCUUUGACUUUAUCUCUGUAGAAAUGUCCACGGGCCAGCCGUUUCUUUCACAGAGAUUGCAGAUCAGGAAGGACCUUUGGAAACCACAGUUUCCACUUCCGCCAUAGGGGCAGAAGGGUUGGGGCAGCCUAACCCCUUGAGCCUGGGAAGUAACAAAGAGGACCGAAGCUAGAGUCCACCACAACAUCACAGGACACGUCUUGGACCUCUUUGAGAACCAUCUGCUCUUUUGAGAACUGAGACCCAAAGACCACCAAUCACAAAGUAGAGCAUACAACCCCCUUCAGGAGCCAGAGACCGGAACUCAAUUCCUGUUUUAUUGGUGAGCUUCUUCCUUUUGGACCCGUAUCUAGGCCUUUCAAUUCCUGCUUAGGGAGACCCACUGAACUCACUUCUUGAGGGACAUGGCUCUCCCUCGCCUGUUAAGCAAUAAACCCAGCUUCCCCACCGCUGUCAGCUUUGAUGUCUCUGUUUUUUUGGUUUGUUACUUUCAAGUCUCAGUUUAAAGGUCAGUGUCCAAGGGAGGCCUCCCCUGAUACCCUACCCUGUGUUUAGUUCUCGGGCUCUACAUUCCUACGGCAGCAGCCUGCACUCCCCCUUUUGUAAGAGUCAUCACUUCAUUCCCGUAUGUUUUAUGUCUGACCUUCUGAGCUCCGUAGGGCAGGACUCGUCUCUGUCUUGUGGAUUGUGGUAUCCCCAGGCAAGUACAGUGUCUGGUACCUAGGAAGCCAUCAGUAAGUAUUAACUUUUAUUAGUAGAUGCUCCAUAAAUAACCACUGGUCUGAGUUGUCCUCAGGUGGUUUCUCAGAUAGUAUACGCACUUUGUGUCUAAAUUGGUUGAAAUUUCUUUAAGACGAGGAUCCUCUGUGUUCCUUUCUUUAAAUCUCUCACACUAUGCCCAUUGUGGGCUUCUUCAUCCAAGCAACACUUCAUAAAUGAUUAUUAAUUGGUCUCCCCACAACCACUUUCCAAACGGGCAUCAUAUUUGAAGAAAUGAUCAAAUUUAAAAGAAUAUGUUGUGUAGCAGGACAAUUUAUUAUGACUUUAU
ensembl:lncRNA